rnacentral:lncRNA from 1 species
UUUCUUUCUAAUUGAUCAUCGAAUCAAAUCGAUUCAACCGUAGUUAGAAACCCACAAUGUUAGCGAAACUGAUUCAUUCUCCGUUAAUCUUUCUCGUUCGACCCAAUUUCUUCUCUGUUAGCGUUGAUUCAUUCUUUCUUUAAUCUUUGAUUACUCAAACCCUAAAAAAAAAUCUGAACGAUUCAACAUCGUCAUUUUAGGGUUUCAUGUUUCUGAACCCUAAAAUUCUUGAUUCGAUUUGAAAGAGAUAUUUGGAAUGGAAAAGAAUUCUAUGCCCUUGCAACUUAUGAUCAAACCAUUAAACGACAACGAUGCUAAGGUGUGUGGAUUCACUUCACUCUCAAUUCCAAUUGUAAAGGUUAUUAUUUUAUUGCUUUUUCCUUAAAUCCAUGUUUAAUUGUGUGUUGCUGGAAUUGUAGGAACUUGUUACUCCGAGUUCUCAUCCACAAUUAAGUCACAAUGCUAGUAAGUUGUUAUAACUUUACAGGUAAUUGAUUUGUGUCUUUUUCGUCUGUAAUGUUGCUCUUAUUUUAUUGGGUCUUGUUUGGAUAUGUCCCUUGAUGUCCCUAAUAGGAAAUGUCCAUCGAUGUCUCUAAAUUGUAUAUAUGUCCCUUAAUGUACCUAAAUUGAGUAUGUCCAUAAAUUGACGGCUGUAAUGGAAUUUAAAUGUGAAUGCUUAUUCGUAACUUCAAAUGCAUUUGAUGUGAAAUAGAGUUUAUGUCGCUCGAUGUCCCUAUAUUGAGUAACUGUCCCUCAUGUCUCUAAAUUGUAUAUAUGUCGGUAAAUUGAGAAUAUGUCCCUCAAUGUCCCUAAGUUGAUGGCUUUAAUGAAAUUUAAAUGUGAAUGCUUAUUCAUAACUUCAAAUGCCGAGAUUAUGUCCCUCGAUUUCCCUAUAUUGAGUAAAUGUCCCUCGAUGUCUCUAAAGUGUAUAUAUGUCCCUCGAUGUCCCUAAAUUUACAGUGUCCGUCAAUGUCCUUAAAUUGACGGCCUUAAUGGAAUUUAAAUGUGAAUGCUUAUUCAUAACUUCAAAUGCGUUUGAUGGGAAAUAGAGUUUAUGUCCCUUGAUGUCCCUAAAUUGUAUAUAUGUCCCUCGAUGUCCCUAAAUUGAGAAUGUUCCUCAAUGUCCCUAAGUUGACGGCUUUAAUGGAAUUUAAAUGUGAAUACUUAUUCAUAACUUCAAAUGCCUUUGAUGUGAAAUAAAGUCUAUGUCCCUCGAUGUCCCUAUAUUGAGUAAAUGUCCCUCGAUGUCUCUAAAUUGUAUAUAUGUCCCUCAAUGUCCCUAAGUUGACGGCUUUAAUGGAAUUUAAAUGUGAAUGUUUAUUCAUAACUUCAAAUGUAAGUGGAGAUGACCUGUGGCACCAUAGAUGGAAAUAGUAUGAUAUGUCCCUCGAUGUCCCUAAAUUGAAUAUAUGUCUCUGGAUGUCGCUAAAUUGAAGGUCUGAGUGAUUGCAAUUUCAAUGUGAGUGGUAUUUCAAUGUGAAUGCUUAGUCAUAACUUGAAAUGUAAGUGGAGAUGACCCUUAAUGCAAUGACUAUAUUAUGCUUUUGGUAACAGUAAAUUGGGAUGAUGAUUUUGUGCCAAAUGAUCUUAGAUGCAAAAAUUGAAUAUAUGUCUCUUGAUGACCGUAAAUUGUUAGCCUAAAUUCAAUUUCAUUAUGAAUUUUUAUUCAUAACUUGAUAUGCAUAUUGAGACGACCCAUGAUACAGUGACCUUGUAUGCUUUUGGUUACCUUAGAUGUGAAAUUGAGUAUAUGUUACUUGAUGACUUUGAAUGCAAAAUUCAAUAUUUGAGUCUUACAACCUCUAAAUUGUUGGCUAUUAAUGAGAAAUGGAAAAGAACUUUAAGAUUCUUGAUUGGACCUUCUAUGACUCUGUAAAUCCUAUCAGAUUUAGUAGUGUUGCUUGUAUCGAUUUGAUUUCUUGUGAUUUUUAUCACUUCUACAUCUUUGUUUUCAAUUUUUUAUCCUUUAUCUUUUGGAAUGUUUUCUAAUUGAUUUGACUCAAUUUUGUCUUUCGUGAAGGUAACGCAAAUUCUCCGAAAUAUUGUUCGACAGAAAUGUUGUUUUGGGUAGUUUUUGUAUGCAUUGAUUAUCCAAGAGUCUGCUAACUAGUGAAUCUUAAUUUUUCAUGCCUAAGAAGGUUAAUUUGGCCCCUAUGAAAUUGCGUAGUUGCUUUAAGAAUUCUUAAGACAAGUCUUGGGAUGCUGUAUUUGGAUGACCCAAUAAAAUGAUUUUUUUUUACCAAUUAUGCGGCUUACAAUAUGAAUUAUAUAUUCAUAUGGAAUCAGGAUGAUAUACAUGAAAAUUUUGAUGGUCUAAAUGCAAGCUGAAACUUUGCUAAGAAGGUUGUGUGACUUGUUAAUUUUGAUGUGAAAUUGAGUAUAUGUCCCUCAAAUGUCUCUAAAUUGAGUAUAUGUCCCUCGAUGUCCCUAAAUUGAUGGUCUGAAUGGAACUUGAAUGUGAAUGCUUAUUCAUAACUUCAAAUGUAAGUGGAGAUGACAGUUGGUGCUAUAGAUGCGAAAUAGUAUAUAUGUCCAUCUAUGUCCCUAAAUUGAAUAUAUGUCCCUCGAUGUUCCUAAAUUGAACAUAUGUCCCUCGAUGUCCCUAACUUGAAUGUAUGUCCCUCGAUGUCCCUAACUUGAAUAUAUGUCCUCGAUGUCCCUAAAUUGAAGGUUUGAAUGAAUGCAAUUUCAAUGUGAAUGCUUAGUCCUAACUUGAAAUGUAAGUGGAGACGACCCUUGAUGCAAUGACUAUACUAUGUUUUUGGUAAUGGUAAAUUGGGAUGAUGAUUUUGUGCUGAGUGAUCUUAGAUGCAAAAAUUGAAUAUAUAUCCCGUGAUGACCGUAAAUUGUUGGCCUAAAUUCAAUUUCAUUAUGAAUUUUUAUUUAUCACUUGAUAUGCAUAUCGAGACGACCCAUGAUACAGUGACUCUAUGAUGCUUUUUUAUUAAUGAUAAGUUGGCAUGAAUGCAUGAUGGUGGUGUGCUUUUGGUUACCUUAGAUGUGAUGUGAAAUUGAGUAUAUAUUAAUUGAUGACUUUGAAUGCAAAAUUCAAUAUUUGAGUCUUACAACCUCUAAAUUGUUGGCUAUUAAUGUAGAAACAGAAAAGAAUUUUAGCUUCUUGAUUGGACCUUAAAGACGCUGCAAACCCUUUCGGACAAAAUAAGAUGUGUUUGGCACUUGUAGCCGAUGAAACUGCUGCAGUUCAUUUUCAGCUUUGGGAGAUGAAUGUGAUUAUUUUGAUUCAGGUGACAUCAUUUAU